AUUGAACGCUGGCGGCAGGCCUAACACAUGCAAGUCGAGCGGGGUUUUCGGACCUAGCGGCGGACGGGUGAGUAAUGCGUAGGAAGCUGCCCGAUAGAGGGGGAUACCAGUUGGAAACGACUGUUAAUACCGCAUAAUGUCUACGGACCAAAGUGUGGGACCUUCGGGCCACAUGCUAUCGGAUGCGCCUACGUGGGAUUAGCUAGUUGGUGGGGUAAUGGCUCACCAAGGCGACGAUACCUAGCUGGUUUGAGAGGAUGAUCAGCGACACUGGAACUGAGACACGGUCCAGACUCCUACGGGAGGCAGCAGUGGGGAAUAGUGGACAAUGGGCGCAAGCCUGAUCCAGCCAUGCCGCGUGUGUGAAGAAGGCCUUCGGGUUGUAAAGCACUUUCAGUAGGGAGGAAGAGUUGAGUGUUAAUAGUACUCAGCUUUGACGUUACCUACAGAAGAAGCACCGGCUAACUCUGUGCCAGCCGCCGCCGUAACAC
rnacentral:rRNA from 1 species